UACGGAGGGUGCAAGCGUUGUCCGGAUUUAUUGGGUUUAAAGGGUGCGUAGGUGGAACUGUAAGUCUGAUUUGAAAGCAAGCGGCUUAACCGUUUGAUGUGGUUGGAAACUGUGGUUCUUGAAUGGGUUGGCGGUAGCCGGAAUGGGUCAUGUAGCGGUGAAAUGCAUAGAUAUGACCCGGAACACCGAUUGCGAAGGCAGGCUACUACGACUUGAUUGACACUGAGGCACGAGAGCAUGGGGUAG
rnacentral:rRNA from 1 species